rnacentral:rRNA from 1 species
UACCUACGGGGGGCAGCAGUGGGGGAUAUUGCACAAUGGGGGGAACCCUGAUGCAGCGACGCCGCGUGAGUGAAGAAGUAUUUCGGUAUAUAAAGCUCUAUCAGCAGGGAAGAAGAAAGACGGUACCUGAGUAAGAAGCCCCGGCUAACUACGUGCCAGCAGCCGCGGUAAUACGUAGGGGGCAAGCGUUAUCCGGAUUUACUGGGUGUAAAGGGAGCGUAGACGGUUACGCAAGUCUGGAGUGAAAGGCGGGGGCCCAACCCCCGGACUGCUUUGGAAACUGUAUAA